UACGGGGGGGGGCAAGCGUUGUUCGGAAUUACUGGGCGUAAAGGGCUCGUAGGCGGCCAACUAAGUCGGAUGUGAAAUCCCCAGGCUUAACCUGGGAACUGCAUCCGAUACUGGAUGGCUUGAAUUCGGGAGAGGGAUGCAGAAUUCCAGGUGUAGCGGUGAAAUGCGUAGAUAUCUGGAGGAAUACCGGUGGCGAAGGCGGCAUCUUGGACCGAGAUUGACGCUGAUGAGCGAAAGCUAGGGGAGCAAACGGG
rnacentral:rRNA from 1 species